rnacentral:ncRNA from 1 species
AUCUUCAGGGCAGGGUGCAAGUCCCUACCGGUGGUACAGCCCACGAGCCGCAAGGCAUGAUUCGGUGAAACUCCGAAGCCGACAGUAUAGUCUGGAUGAAAGAAGGU